rnacentral:rRNA from 1 species
UACGGAGGGUGCAAGCAUUGAUCGGAAUUACUGGGCGUAAAGGGCGCGUAGGUGGCGGGACAAGCGUGCGGUGAAAGCCUGGGGCUCAACCCCGGGUCGGCCGUGCGAACUGUUUUGCUUGAGCACUGUAGAGGCAGGCGGAAUUCCGGGUGUAGCGGUGGAAUGCGUAGAGAUCCGGAAGAACACCGGUGGCGAAGGCGGCCUGCUGGGCAGUAGCUGACACUGAGGCGCGACAGCGUGGGGAGCAAACAGG